rnacentral:tRNA from 3 species
UGGCCCGUUGGUCAAGUGGUUAAGACACCGCCCUUUCACGGCGGUAACACGGGUUCGAAUCCCGUACGGGUCAUCC